rnacentral:rRNA from 1 species
UACGUAGGGACCAAGCGUUGUUCGGAUUUACUGGGCGUAAAGGGCGCGUAGGCGGCGUGACAAGUCACUUGUGAAAUCUCCGGGCUUAACCCGGAACUGCCAAGUGAUACUGUCGUGCUAGAGUGCGGAAGGGGCAAUCGGAAUUCUCGGUGUAGCGGUGAAAUGCGUAGAUAUCGAGAGGAACACCUGAGGUGAAGACGGGUUGCUGGGCCGACACUGACGCUGAGUGCGCGAAAGCCAGGGGAGCGAACGGG